GUGAACGCUGGCGGUAGGCCUAACACCUGCAAGUCGAACGGCAGCACAGUAAGAGCUUGCUCUUACGGGUGGCGAGUGGCGGACGGGUGAGGAAUACAUCGGAAUCUACUUUUUCGUGGGGGAUAACGUAGGGAAACUUACGCUAAUACCGCAUACGACCUACGGGUGAAAGCAGGGGAUCUUCGGACCUUGCGCGAUUGCAUGAGCCGAUGUCGGAUUAGCUAGUUGGCGGGGUAAAGGCCCACCAAGGCGACGAUCCGUAGCUGGUCUGAGAGGAUGAUCAGCCACACUGGAACUGAGACACGGUCCAGACUCCUACGGGAGGCAGCAGUGGGGAAUGUUGGACAAUGGGCGCAAGCCUGAUCCAGCCAUACCGCGUGGGUGAAGAAGGCCUUCGGGUUGUAAAGCCCUUUUGUUGGGAAAGAAAAGCAGCAGGUUAAUACCCCGCUGUUCUGACGGUACCCAAAGAAUAAGCACCGGCUAACUUCGUG
rnacentral:rRNA from 1 species